GGACGGGUGAGUAACGCGUGGGCAACCUGCCUCAUACUGGGGGAUAACAGUUGGAAACGACUGUUAAUACCGCAUAAGCGCACAGAGUCGCAUGACUCAGUGUGAAAAACUCCGGUGGUAUGAGAUGGGCCCGCGUCAGAUUAGCCAGUUGGCGGGGUAACGGCCCACCAAAGCGACGAUCUGUAGCCGGACUGAGAGGUCGGACGGCCACAUUGGGACUGAGACACGGCCCAAACUCCUACGGGAGGCAGCAGUGGGGGAUAUUGCACAAUGGAGGAAACUCUGAUGCAGCGACGCCGCGUGAGUGAAGAAGUAUUUCGGUAUGUAAAGCUCUAUCAGCAGGGAAGAAAGGCUCGUAAGAGAGAUGACGGUACCUGACUAAGAAGCCCCGGCUAACUACGUGCCAGCAGCCGCGGUAAU
rnacentral:rRNA from 1 species